rnacentral:rRNA from 1 species
AUUGAACGCUGGCGGCAGGCUUAACACAUGCAAGUCGAGCGGGCGAGGUCGCUUCGGUAACUGAGCUAGCGGCGGACGGGUGAGUAAUGCUUAGGAAUCUGCCUAUUAGUGGGGGACAACAUCUCGAAAGGGAUGCUAAUACCGCAUACGUCCUACGGGAGAAAGCAGGGGACCUUCGGGCCUUGCGCUAAUAGAUGAGCCUAAGUCGGAUUAGCUAGUUGGUGGGGUAGAGGCCUACCAAGGCGACGAUCUGUAGCGGGUCUGAGAGGAUGAUCCGCCACACUGGGACGGAGACACGGCCCAGACUCCUACGGGAGGCAGCAGUGGGGAAUAUUGGACAAUGGGGGGAACCCUGAGCCAGCCAUGCCGCGUGUGUGAAGAAGGCCUUAUGGUUGUAAAGCACUCUAAGCGAGGAGGAGGCUCUUUUGGUUAAUACCCAAGAUGAGUGGACGUUACUCGCAGAAUAAGCACCGGCUAACUCUGUGCCAGCCGCCGCCGUAAAAC